rnacentral:rRNA from 1 species
UGUAGGUGAACCUGCGGAAGGAUCAUUACCGGACUGUGAAGGGUGACGAGCGUCAUCGUUUCUGCCCCGUGUGGGCGGAGCGGCUCGCUGCGCCCGACGCUUUCCGCCGCUGACCCCGCUUGGACGCGGGGACGGCUAUACCCGCGGGGAUGCCUGAAUUCUGAGGGGCUCCCCGCACCCAAUUUGUUGCGCCCAGCGGGCGGCGGCUGCAACCUUGGACGGUUGGCUUGGCCGCGCCCGUGGGUACAAACGGCGCAACGCACUUUCAUGGGUGGGCUUUCGGUCCGCCUCGACGCUCAUGCGCGGAAUGGGAGUAAGACGACCCGACGUGCUUUGCCCAGUACGAGAGGAACGGCAAAGGUCGGUCAAGGAACUGGCGGUCGAGAGCUAAAGCUGCCUGCCAUCCAUCAUCAAUAGUUGGAACUGCGGUGCAAGCGCUCUCCCGUCCUCCGCGGCAAAUGCCGCCGAGUCUGAAAAGGCUGGCGGCUGCCGGUCGCUUCCUGCGGCGAGUAUGGAGUAACGACCCGACUAUGUUGCUACCCAAGUACUGAAGGAACGGUGUGGCAUUCGGUCGGUCAUGGAACUGGCGGUACGAGGGUGUGGCUGCCAAGUACAAUAGGAACCGUGGCCCACAACGCCCUCCCGUCCUCCGCGGCAAAUGCCACCGAGCGCCCGACAGGGCCGGAGGCUGCCGGUCGGCUCCUGCUCGUGACGCGCGAGAUGUCGAGAUCGCGGUUGAAUGCGACGACGUUGGCAGGCUGUUUGCCCGCCGCCGAGGGAAAGGCGGCGCUGCUGCGAAGUACGAGAGGAAACGCGGCUUUGCUACGUCGGACGCGUUCCGCGGUUAACGGACUUGUGCGCUUUGGGAAGGCGCCGCACGUCGAAAGAGGAUUUACGGACUGACGAGGGACUGAAGUCUCGAAACUUGAACGCACUUGCGGCCAGGCCCUUGCUGGCUUCGUCUUCCGCCUCGAGUAGACUGGUUGCGGCUCCGGCGCCGAAAGCCGUCCCUGGCACUGGCCGAGUGGUUUUGGAGAGCCGCGCGAGUAUGCGCGCCGGGCUCUUGUCUGUCGUCUCAAGUAGGCUGCCGGAUCAGCAGUGGGUGUGCUGCGGCAAGCCGCCGAUGCGAAAGCGUGUUUGUGUGAUAGGGAUGGAGCGGUUAAUUAAUACCCUACUGAUGACUGAAGCGAGACACGUCGAUGGGGGCGAGACCCCACCCGUGGCCGUGUUGCCGUGAAAGACUCCACAGCUGCUUGUGCUCUGUAGCCCUGCGGCUUUUUUUCAAUUUUCGUGGAGCAAUGUGAACGUGCACACGAAGCACACGGGUCCGGUGGGUUGGUUGGCAGGAAAACCGGCUUCGAGUGCUCGAAAAAAACAGACGUGGUGUGGCGCCCACGCUGGAUGACGAAAGCGAAACACGUCGAUGGGGGCGAGACCCCACCCGUGGCCGUGUAGCCGUGAAAGACUCCACAGCUGCUUGUGCUCUGUAGCCCUGCGGCUUUUUUUCAAUUUUCGUGGAGCAAUGUGAACGUGCACACGAAGCACACGGGUCCGGUGGGUUGGUUGGCAGGAAAAGCCGGCUUCGAGUGUUCGCAAAAAAAAAAAAAAGACGUGGUCAAGGGGCAGGCCACGCCCCCGCGGGUGUGCAGGGCUCGCGGGGUUAGCUGCAAACACAACACGCAAGUAGCAGGGUGCGGUGCGCCUAUAUGCUACCAACUGUUUGAGACUCGGCGGGCGAAAAAGCGCAGACUAGAGGAGCGCGCGCAGAAAGGUGCUCUUCGAAACCACACACAGGGAGACGCCACGUGCCUAAAACCCUGGUUGUACUGUACGGAAUUGAACAAACUACUUUUCACGACUCUAAGCGGUGGAUCACUCGGUUCUCGGGUCGAUGAAGAACGCAGCCAGCUGCGAGACUUGGUGUGAAUUGCAGGACACACUGAGCACUGAUUCUUUGAACGCACAUUGCGGCCUUGGGUCUUCCCUUGGCUUCGUCUGUCUGAGGGUCGGAUCACAUAUCAAGAGAGCCUUCGGCGCACAGGGAACGUGCGUCCGUCGACUCGUUUUGACCGCGUCGGCAUCACGGACAGUACGUUGAGUGCUGAAGCCACGCGCCAGCGGCCUCACGUGAGAGAGACUGUGGCGAACUAAACUGUUGUGCCAAAACUUCGCAGAGACGGAAACGAGGCAUUGUACUACUGCAGCGCGACGAGCGCGCGCCUCCGAAGAGACCGCCGCAGGGUGGAGUCGGACACCUGCAGGGAAAGCGCGGUCCGAGCGCGAGGCGCGAACGUCUGUUGCAACAGCAGUGGCGCGCACGUUUGCGAGAGAGUCGGAAGCGCAUGCUUGCAUGCACGGUUAACGCGGGAAGCACACUUGUUGGUUCCUGCGCCGUGAGCGAAGCGAGCGCGAUCGCGCGUUGCGUUGUUUGCCUUCGGAGUACGUCGAGCUCUAGCAAAAGGUCGCUCGAGCGUCCGCGUCACCGCACGGGUGCAGGCGCCCUGGUCCAAGUUUCGUCGCAAGAGUAGGAAUCGGAAAAGAUUCUUGCGCGGAGCAGAAAGGACAAGGGUGCGCCCCAAAGCGGUAGUGAUGCGUUUACGCGAGUGUGCCGUCUGCGAGCGCGAAGAAAACGGUACGACGGAUUAGUCGCCGCGAAGCGGAAAAAUGUCUUUCUCGAAAGCGUGAGUUUGCCCGCUGGCGGAGCUGAAGCGUUCCGUCGUAGUCCGCCGUCGGUCCAAGUGCUUCGCAGUCUCUGCCCCGAAAAGACUGGGUCCUUCCAGUUGGGGUAGGGGCGACGCUACACGAGAUGAUGCCUCCUGCCAGGCUAGAGCCGUCCUGCGGCAGCCGCUGAAGCGGCGCGCUGCGAGGGUGGCACGCCUCGGCGGUGUUUGGGCUUCAGACAUGGUCGUUUGCCACGCAACUGCUCGUGCGCCGCACGCGCGUGGGCGGUUUUUAAACCGCCUGCCAGCCUCGUCUAUAAGUAGCUCCGUGUUGGGCGAAGGACGUGGUAGGGCGUCGUACUCGGUUUGCGCUGGGCUUACGAACGUGUCGAGUCCUUUCCAGCUCGCUGGAAUGGGCGAAAGCGAUGUAUCCGUUGUCGACCUCAGAUCAGGCGAG